GGAGGGGUGGCCGAGUCCGGCUUAAGGCGGCGGUCUUGAAAAUCGCUCUCCGACUUAAUGUCGGAGCGGGGGUUCAAAUCCCUCCCCCUCCG
rnacentral:tRNA from 1 species